rnacentral:rRNA from 1 species
CCUACGGGUGGCAGCAGUGGGGAAUCUUCCGCAAUGGGCGCAAGCCUGACGGAGCAACGCCGCGUGAGUGAAGAAGGUCUUCGGAUCGUAAAGCUCUGUUGACGGGGACGAACGUGCGAGAGGUGAAUAAACUCUUGCAAUGACGGUACCUGUCGAGGAAGCCACGGCUAACUACGUGCCAGCAGCCGCGGUAAUACGUAGGUGGCGAGCGUUGUCCGGAAUCAUUGGGCGUAAAGGGAGCGCAGGCGGGCAUAUAAGUCUUUCUUAAAAGUGCGGGGCUCAACCCCGUGAUGGGAAAGAAACUAUAUGUCUUGAGUACAGGAGAGGAAAGCGGAAUUCCCAGUGUAGCGGUGAAAUGCGUAGAUAUUGGGAGGAACACCAGUGGCGAAGGCGGCUUUCUGGACUGCAACUGACGCUGAGGCUCGAAAGCCAGGGGAGCGAACGGGAUUAGAUACCCCAGUAGUC